rnacentral:rRNA from 1 species
UAGGGAAUCUUCGGCAAUGGACGAAAGUCUGACCGAGCAACGCCGCGUGAGUGAAGAAGGUUUUCGGAUCGUAAAACUCUGUUGUUAGAGAAGAACAAGGACGUUAGUAACUGAACGUCCCCUGACGGUAUCUAACCAGAAAGCCACGGCUAACUACGUGCCAGCAGCCGCGGUAAUACGUAGGUGGCAAGCGUUGUCCGGAUUUAUUGGGCGUAAAGCGAGCGCAGGCGGUUUCUUAAGUCUGGUGUGAAAGCCCCCGGCUCAACCGGAGAGGGUCAUUGGAAACUGGGAGACUUGAGUGCAGAAGAGGAGAGUGGAAUUCCAUGUGUAGCGGUGAAAUGCGUAGAUAUAUGGAGGAACACCAGUGGCGAAGGCGGCUCUCUGGUCUAUAACUGACGCUGAGGCUCGAAAGCGUGGGGAGCGAACAGG